CUCCUCUCAGAAUGGCACCUGGGGAGUUUCUAGGACUCUACCAGUCUCAACUACAGGAGGAAGAUUCAGGCAGAGGCCUAUCCAUUCCAUUCCAAGCUUGGGCAGUGGUUAGCGAGUGGAAGGCAAUCUGUCACAAGU